rnacentral:rRNA from 1 species
GACGAACGCUGGCGGCGUGCCUAAUACAUGCAAGUCGAACGCAGUGGGGACGGGUGAGUAACACGUGGGUAACCUCCCAUCAGAGGGGAUAACACUUGGAAACAGGUGCUAAACCGAUAUUGGUGGAUGGAGCCGCGGUGCAUUAGCUAGUUGGUGAGGUACCGGCUCACCAAGGCCACGAUGCAUAGCCGAUCUGAGAGGGUGAUCGGCCACACUGGAACUGAGACACGGCCCAGACUCCUACGGGAGGCAGCAGUGGGGAAUCUUUGGCAAUGGACGCAAGUCUGAUGGAGCAACGCCGCGUGAGUGAAGAAGGUUUUCGGAUCGUAAAAUUCUGUUGUCAGAGAAGCGGUAUCUAACCAGAAAGCACCGGCUAACUACGUGCCAGCAGCCGCGGUAAUAC